rnacentral:lncRNA from 1 species
AAAAUGGCUAUCCAAGUUUCAAUACAUACCUUUAAUUAUAUCGAUACACAGUUUCGACAACUUGGUGUUCACCAGUACACACCACAUGGCUAAGUGAUACACACUCAUCGACUUCUUAAUACACACUUUAAGCUUUACUAAUGCAUACUAAGCAUCGAUCUAAUACAUACCUUUAGGUAUAUCGAUACAUACUUUUCAGAUCAUGGUGUUCAGCAGUACACACUGCAUGGCCAAAUGAUAC